rnacentral:lncRNA from 1 species
GAUAUUCUUCAUGGUGGCGUCGUGGAUUCGGCAUGUUUGACGGCGGUUCGUGGAUUCGGAUCGUGGGCUCGUGGAUUCGAGUGGCGUCGUGGAUUCGGCGUGAUUGAAGCUUCGUGGAUUCGGAGUGGAGGCGUUCGUGGAUUCGAACGUGAGGGAGUGGACAACCCGGAGGAUUGCGCGAGGUCCAUAGGAGGUUAAGAGAGGUUGAGUCCGUGGAGUCGGUAAUCACCUUGUAAUCUUUUCUCUUAGUGGAUUGUUUUUUCGCGUGUUGGUCCCGUGGGUUUUUCUCCAAAUUAGAGUUUUCCCACGUAAAUCUCGGUGUGAUUUUUUUUAUUUUCCGCAUUUAUUUUUAUCGCAUUGAGAAUUGUGGUUUUUGGCUUUUACACCUAUUCACCCCCCUCUAGGUGAUAGAUACAAUCUAGAUAGAU